ACAGCUCCCAGGCCCUGGCCCAGCAGGGCUGCCACGCUGCAGCAGAGCAACGAUUUUAGCAGAGGAGCCAGGGCUACUUCCUGAUGGGCAAAACAGCUGGUUGCCCAGGGAAAACAGCUGGCCUGGUCCCAGCCUCCUGAGAGCAAGGCAGAGCCUCAGAAGAGGACAGCUCCUCAUCUGGGGUCCUGAAAGAGGAGGGCAUGACCAAGAGGGAGAGGGUAGUCCUUCAGGAUGUGUGUGGGUGUUGGGUGGACCCCUGGAGAUUAGAGGGGUGUGAGCAGAUUCCAAGAGCAAAGGAAGGAUAUGCUGACUCUAAACAGUCAGGGCAGGGGUGCCUCCAGAUGGGAUUCAGGGGUCUCAGUUUUCCCUCAAAUAGGGAACAUGAGGGACAGGGUUGCAUAUGGAAGACAAGCCUCUGCUCAGUCCUCUUGGAAGUGGGCUUGGAACCAGAGGUGGGGAGGGGGCCCAGGCUGGGCUCUCAGAUUCCCAUCAGCUGAGCUGCACCAGGAGCAGGGCCAGGGGCCCAUCCUCUGACCAGGAUCCUGGGCUUCCUUGGUCACAAAGCAGGACGCGACCCAGAGAGCCCCCAACUCAGGAGCUGUGAAGCUGGCAACUGGUAAGAGCUCUAUCCAAGCAUCCUCCCUGCUUUGGGUCCCCAUUCCUAGCCUGCUUCGCUACCAGGUCAUGAGAACUCCCAACCAGAGUGCCUCUCCGGCUCUGGGGCACCUCCAGGUUGUUCCUUCUCAUUAGCAAGCGAUACCUGGGACCUCAAAUGAGGUUGGGCAAGGUAGGAAGAUGGCUAAUGGGGGAGUGGCCAGACCCCAUUUAGCCUGAGCUGCCUACCUGGGCCACUGACCUCCAAGUCCCAGCAGCCUGGCACCCCUAUUUUCUCUCUGACCAAGGGGGUUCUUCUAGCCUAUCUACUUAACCCUCAGGUAAGGGCUGGCCCCCAAUUUGGGUGUGCCAGCCUUAGUACCCCUCUCUCUGGUAAAGGCCAGACUGUAAAACCUCUGCCAGUUAGUAGCAGACCUUGGAACUCAGGCUCCCAGCCCCAUGUGGGUCUUGGGGAGGGGGCCAGUUCUCUCAGGGUCUCUAGCUUAUGAAGCCAGAGUGAAGCCUGAGGUGCUGGCGCCACCAUCUGGUUUGGUCCAGAACUGAAAUGAGUUUUGGAGGGGCGGAAACUGAACCCAACCAGGGGUGGAUAGGUCU
rnacentral:lncRNA from 1 species